AAUUCUCAACCUUAUCAGCUUUUGUUGAUAAUGGCUUGGAUGUGGGGGUUUAUUUGCUGGCUUCUUAAUGAUAUCAGCUCCCCUUAAAUGCAUUAGCUGGUUGCCUUGUGCAGACUUGUCUAUUGGUGUGAUAAUUAUCUACGCCGUGGACUGACUUGCCAGUAUUAGCACCGCUUCUAACUGUCUGUUUACUCAGACAAUAUAUAUGACA
rnacentral:misc_RNA from 1 species